GUCAGCAUCAGCCUCCCCAUCAUCUUCAAAAGGCGAUGCCUCAGAAAGCCCAUCACCCCUCCCGGGACAUUGGCUGCCAACAGUAGCUCACAGAGUCUUCUGUCCUGGACCAGACUUUCAAGUUGUCCCCAGGCAGAGCCCACCUUGAAGAUCCUUCCUCUCCAAGAGUGAGAAUGAACGCACAACACAUACAUUGGGCUGUAAAUGUAAAAUUGCCUGAAGCAUGAAGCAAAACCAAGCAGAUGAAUCGGAUGGCAGAGGGGAAGAAGCUGUUCCUGAAUCGCUGAGUGUGUGCCUUCAGGCUUCUGUAUUUCCUAUCUGAUGGUGACAGUGAGAAAAGGGCAUGCGCUGGAUGCUGGAGGUUCUUAAUAAUGGAC